UACGUAGGGUGCAAGCGUUAAUCGGAAUUACUGGGCGUAAAGCGUGCGCAGGCGGUUGUGUAAGACAGAUGUGAAAUCCCCGGGCUUAACCUGGGAACUGCGUUUGAAACUACAAGGCUAGAGUGUGGCAGAGGGGGGGUGGAAUUCCACGUGUAGCAGUGAAAUGCGUAGAGAUGUGGAGGAACACCGAUGGCGAAGGCAGCCCCCUGGGUUAACACUGACGCUCAGGCACGAAAGCGUGGGGAGCAAACAGG
rnacentral:rRNA from 1 species